AUUGAACGCUGGCGGCAUGCCUAACACAUGCAAGUCGAACGAGCGACGGAUGGGUGAGGAAUGUGUGGGAGCCUGCUUGCUGGAGGGGGCUAACCACAGGAGACGGUAGCUAAUAAUACAUACCAUCAGAUGUGCAGCGAUGGGGUUAGCUAGUGGGUGGGGUAACGGCCCACGUCGGCGACGAUCCGUAGCUGGUCUGAGAGGAUGACCAGCCACACUGGAACUGAGACACGGCCCAGACUCCUACGGGAGGCAGCAGUGGGGAAUAUUGCACAAUGGGGGAAAGCCUGAUGCAGCCAUGCCGCGUGUGUGAAGAAGGCCUUCGGGUUGUAAAGCACUUUCAGCGGGAAGGCGGUACCCGCAGAAGAAGCACCGGCUAACUACGUGCCAGCAGCCGCGGUAAUUC
rnacentral:rRNA from 1 species